rnacentral:rRNA from 1 species
CCUACGGGAGGCAGCAGUAGGGAAUCUUCCGCAAUGGACGAAAGUCUGACGGAGCAACGCCGCGUGAACGAUGAAGGCCUUCGGGUCGUAAAGUUCUGUUGUUAGGGAAGAACAAGUGUUAGUUGAAUAAGCUGGCACCUUGACGGUACCUAACCAGAAAGCCACGGCUAACUACGUGCCAGCAGCCGCGGUAAUACGUAGGUGGCAAGCGUUGUCCGGAAUUAUUGGGCGUAAAGCGCGCGCAGGCGGUUUCUUAAGUCUGAUGUGAAAGCCCCCGGCUCAACCGGGGAGGGUCAUUGGAAACUGGGAAACUUGAGUGCAGAAGAGGAAAGUGGAAUUCCAAGUGUAGCGGUGAAAUGCGUAGAGAUUUGGAGGAACACCAGUGGCGAAGGCGACUUUCUGGUCUGUAACUGACGCUGAGGCGCGAAAGCGUGGGGAGCAAACAGGAUUAGAUACCCUGGUAGUCCACGCUGUAAACGAUGAGUGCUAAGUGUUAGAGGGUUUCCGCCGUUUAGUGCUGAAGUUAACGCAUUAAGCACUCCGCCGUGGGGAGUACGGUCGCAAGACUAGAACUCAAAUGAAUUGACGGNUGAGACGUGCGAGACGACGACGAGGGAGAG